rnacentral:rRNA from 1 species
CGGACGGGUGAGUAACACGUAGGGUGAACUACCCCAAAGAGAGGAAUAACUAUGGGAAACCAUAGCUAACACCUCAGAGUGUUUAAGAGUUUAGACGCCUUAAACUAAAACUACGGUGCUUUGGGAUGUGCCUGCGGGCUAUCAGCUAGUUGGUGGGGUAAAGGCCCACCAAGGCAAAGACGGCUAGGGGACGCGAGAGCGUGAUCCCCCCACAAUGGAACUGAGACACGGUCCAU